rnacentral:misc_RNA from 2 species
CAGGCUUGCUCGAGCAACAUAUCCAUCCUCCGGUGGCUCCUCAUAUAGAGGGUGUCGUCGGAGGGUGGCGUGUAGCUCGUCUCGCGUUGGGACGACGCAUGAGUGGCUUCUAGGACAGGGUCCCAGAGCAGGCUCCAUGCUUCUCGCAUCGAACUGCCCUGGUCCUUCCGUUUCAUUGGUCGUUUUGCCUCGGCCCUUUCAGGGUCGGCUGCGGCUCUGCGCGUUGGGUUCUUGUGCUCGAUAUCCGAAUACGGUAACGGGAUGGAUUCUCUUCCCCCUCUUGGUUCCCUCGAUCCACUGCCCUCCCUUGGGAGUUGGUGGGAUGUCGUGCGGGCAUCCGACGUUGUCCAUCGGGAGAGUCGAUCCCCUUCGGGCGCUUCGUCUCGUGAUGGCGCGUAGGUGCUGCCGGGCAUGCUCUCGGGUACGGUGAUGUCGCUGGUUCUCGCAUCGGUCCUCGUUGGCCGUUGUGAUCUCGACGUGUCGAAGCGUCAAUGCUUCCGCUCGCGUGACUCUCUCGCUUGUCCAAGGGCUCGCGGAGCUUCUCGGUUUCGUGAUCUUCUUGGGGAGGCAUCGAGGUCCACACGAGGAUUGC